AAAAAGGCAAACCGUGGGUUCCCGUGCCAACGUUUGGCUAUCCGUCUUAUAUGAAAUUUUUUUAUAAUUAGUAUUUUCAUUGUUGUUAGAUGAUAAAACAUGAUAAAUACUUUAUGUGUGACUUAUCUUAUCUUUUUAAUUUUUUUUUUUAAUUUUUUCAUAAUUUUUUUAAAUAAGACAAACGGUCAAACGUUGGAUACGGAAACUAGGGUUUGUCUUUUU
rfam:Oryza rufipogon genomic scaffold, chr06